rnacentral:rRNA from 1 species
UGGGGAAUUUUGCACAAUGGGGGAAACCCUGAUGCAGCGACGCCGCGUGAUUUAGAAGGCCUUCGGGUUGUAAAAAUCUUUUCUAUGGGAAGAAAAUGACAGUACCAUAGGAAUAAGGACCGGCUAAUUACGUGCCAGCAGCCGCGGUACUACGUAAGGUCCGAGCGUUGUCCGGAAUCAUUGGGCGUAAAGGGUACGUAGGCGGGUAAGCAAGUUAGAAGUGAAAUCCUAUAGCUCAACUAUAGUAAGCUUUUAAAACUGCUCAUCUUGAGGUAUGGAAGGGAAAGUGGAAUUCCUGGUGUAGCGGUGAAAUGCGCAGAUAUUAGGAGGAAUACCGGUGGCGAAGGCGACUUUCUGGCCAUAACCUGACGCUGAGGUACGAAAGCGUGGGUAGCAAACAGG